AUUGAACGCUGGCGGCAGGCCUAACACAUGCAAGUCGAGCGAGCGGCGGACGGGUGAGUAAUGUAUGGGGACUGCCAGAUAGAGGGGGAUCACUCCUGGAAACGGUAGCUAAUACCGCCUACUAUCGGAUAACACAUCUGGGAUUAGCGAGUAGGUGAGGUAAUGGCUCACCUAGCCGACGAUCCCUAGCUGGUCUGAGAGGAUGAUCAGCCACUCUGGGACUGAGACACGGCCCAGACUCCUACGGAGGCAGCAGUGGGGAAUAUUGCACAAUGGGCGCAAGCCUGAUGCAGCCAUGCCGAGUGGAUGAAGAAGGCCCUAGGGUUGUAAAGUACUUUCAGUCGGGAGGCGUUACCGACAGAAGAAGCACCGGCUAACGCCGUGCCAGCAGCCGCGGUAAUUUC
rnacentral:rRNA from 1 species